rnacentral:rRNA from 1 species
GACGAACGCUGGCGGCGUGCUUAACACAUGCAAGUCGAACGGUGACGGAGAGCUUGCUCUCCUGAUCAGUGGCGAACGGGUGAGUAACACGUGGGCAACCAGCCCAGACUUCGGGAUAACGCUUCGAAAGAGGUGCUAAUACCGGAUACGAGCUCCUUGGGCAUCCUUGGAGUUGGAAAGUUUUUCGGCCUGGGAUGGGCCCGCGGCCUAUCAGCUAGUUGGUGAGGUAACGGCUCACCAAGGCGACGACGGGUAGCCGGCCUGAGAGGGCGACCGGCCACACUGGGACUGAGACACGGCCCAGACUCCUACGGGAGGCAGCAGUGGGGAAUAUUGCGCAAUGGGCGAAAGCCUGACGCAGCAACGCCGCGUGAGGGAUGACGGCCUUCGG